rnacentral:lncRNA from 1 species
AAAAGACGUUCCUGAAUGACGCCAAUGCACGAAAAAUUAAAAUCGGUAAAAUGAAAGAUGCUUCAAUAAACUUCUCAAAUUGACAGUUGUAUAGAAAAGCGAUCACUUAUCAAUAAAUUGCUCCAUUCUCUGUGAGGUUAUGUUCGAAAAUGGAAGCAAUUACCAAAACAGAAAUCGAUUUACCCAUAUAUAUCUAAAAAUAUAGAAGUUCUUUCUAAUAAAAGAAAGAACAACAUCAAGUAGAUUAUAAUUAACAAUACUUUUGAUAUCAAGCACGUAUCGCUUCGAUCUAAUAAUAAGUGAAAGUAUCGAUAUCUUAAUAAUACGUAAGGAUUCGACUGUAGUAAUCGAUUACGCAUUGGACAGAUAGCGUCAGUGAGUGAUGCAUGCCGAAUUAACGAAGCAGUUGGUCAGAAUAUUCUAGCGGUACUCGUGUCAUAGUUCACGAGUACGCACGUUCCCGGUAGGAGAAAGGAGCGUUACAAACGGUGUAUUACAUCGGCGAGUAAGCUUGGUUCCCCCAAGUUCAUUGUAACUUUGGUCGUGUCGUGCAUCACCUCCUAUCAACGCCACACCUCCCUACGCAUCGGCCGAAAAGUACUGAGGAAUGUCCAGAAAUGCACAAUGGAAGCUGUCAUCGAUUACCGGUAACUAGAAGCACAACCGAGCUGAUCUUUCGAAAAAGCUGGCAUCUCCGUGACAAAGUGCAUAAUUGACCUAAUUGCUGGUAACGAACGUCCAUGAGACACAAUGACGAAAUCUCGAUUCCACGUAAACUGGAAUAUAAAUUGAUUUGAAAAGUGGAAUACCGGUAUGACUAAUUUUUUAACGAAUUGUAUUAGACGCGUGUCAACUUUGGAAAAUGGUUAAACGAUUAUUUAAUAAAUUGGUAGAAGUAUCCUUCGUUUAAUUUAAUUUGUAAGGUGAGAGCGAUACGUGUAUGGCGAAGUUCUAUCCUCAGGGUCAUAUAUGAAAGUGGAAAUGAAGCGACUGCGGAAAGAAAUUGUAGUCGAUAUGUUGUUAUUCCGGAUUUAUCAAUUGUUUUACUCCCACUGGCAACAGAAUUUUUAUAUGACAAUUGUUUUCAACGGAUUCUGCGCAUCUCGUACCACAGGACAGAACGAUAACUUUUUUCCUCUAACGAAAUAUGAUACAUGGUGUGCGAAGAAUGCACUUGCGAGUUUGAUCUCUCGAUUGUAUUGAUCCUAUUUGUCUGAAUUUCAAAUGUAAUAUUACCUGUCAACAGUAUCGACCAAAUAUCAAACAAUUCAAUUGCUUAAUUUUGUAUCAGAUUUACACAGCGCAUUGUCACGUUAACGGCGUCACGUACAUAUAGGCAUGCAACUAUAGAAAUAUUCUGCAAGGAUUUAACAGAUAUAUUUUUUGCGAACCGGGCCAAUUAACUGUUUCCGUGUAUCUGCUAAUUCAAGUAUCAUUCAGGAAAUAUGAAUUUUGUACAACGCAUUCACGUUCGAUCGCAAAAUAUGUUUUGACUAAUAUAUGCAGCUGUGAAAAAACUAUCACAGUUUACCAUAAAUUCUAUGUAACAUCGUUGUAGGUUAUGUAAACCGUACACGAUCAUUUACAAGACAGAAUAUUUUAUUUCAGACUAAAAAUAAAGACUGCAUACAACAAAACAACACGAAUCAAUCUACCAAUUUUCUGUGUGUAUUCGAACAACGCUAAACUGUCAUAUUUACAAACGACUAUCAGCAUCUAUUUCCACAAGUCACAAACAGAAAAUGUGCAA